rnacentral:rRNA from 1 species
UAGGGAAUCUUCGGCAAUGGGGGGAACCCUGACCGAGCAACGCCGCGGGAGUGAAGAAGGUUUUCGGAUCGUAAAGCUCCGUUGUUAAGGAAGAACGAGAGUGAGAAUGGAAAGUUCAUGCUGGGACGGUACUUAACUACAAAGGGACGGCUAACUACGUGCCAGCAGCCGCGGUAAUACGUAGGUCCCGAGCGUUGUCCGGAUUGGUUGGGCGUAAAGCGAGCGCAGGCGGUUAGAAAAGUCUGAAGUGAAAGGCAGUGGCUCAACCAUUGUAGGCUUUGGAAACUGUUUAUCUUGAGUGCAGAAGGGGAGAGUGGAAUUCCAUGUGUAGCGGUGAAAUGCGUAGAUAUAUGGAGGAACACCGGUGGCGAAGGCGGCUCUCUGGUCUGUAACUGACGCUGAGGCUCGAAAGCGUGGGGAGCGAACAGG